rnacentral:antisense_RNA from 1 species
UUCUAUGGCGGGCCGGAUAGGGGGCGCAAGGCUCGCCGGUACCUGUAGUCCGGUCUAUCAAUCCCAUUCGGUUUGCCCCCCUU